rnacentral:rRNA from 1 species
UGGGGAAUAUUGCACAAUGGGCGAAAGCCUGAUGCAGCAACGCCGCGUGAGUGAUGAAGGUCUUCGGAUUGUAAAGCUCUGUCUUUUGGGACGAUAAUGACGGUACCAAAGGAGGAAGCCACGGCUAACUACGUGCCAGCAGCCGCGGUAAUACGUAGGUGGCGAGCGUUGUCCGGAUUUACUGGGCGUAAAGGGUGCGUAGGCGGAUGUUUAAGUGAGAUGUGAAAUACCCGGGCUUAACUUGGGUGCUGCAUUUCAAACUGGAUAUCUAGAGUGCAGGAGAGGAGAAUGGAAUUCUUAGUGUAGCGGUGAAAUGCGUAGAGAUUAGGAAGAACACCAGUGGCGAAGGCGAUUCUCUGGACUGUAACUGACGCUGAGGCACGAAAGCGUGGGUAGCAAACAGGAUUAGAUACCCUGGUAGUCCACGCCGUAAACGAUGAGUACUAGGUGUAGGAGGUAUCGACCCCUUCUGUGCCGCAGUAAACACAUUAAGUACUCCGCCUGGGAAGUACGAUCGCAAGAUUAAA